UAACACCGGCGGCCCGAGUGGUAGCCGUUUUUAUUGGGUCUAAAGGGUCCGUAGCCGGCCUGAUAAGUCCUUUGGGAAAUCUGGCAGCUUAACUGUCAGGCUUCUAAGGGAUACUGUCAGGCUUGGGACCGGAAGAGGUAAGGGGUACUCCAGGGGUAGGAGUGAAAUCUUGUAAUCCCUGGGGGACCAUCUGUGGCGAAGGCGCCUUACCAGAACGGGUCCGACGGUGAGGGACGAAAGCUAGGGGAGCAAACCGGAUUAGAUACCCGGGUAGUCCUAGCUGUAAACGAUGCUCGCUAGGUGUCAGACACGGUGCGACCGUGUUUGGUGCCGCAGGGAAGCCGUUAAGCGAGCCACCUGGGAAGUACGGUCGCAAGGCUG
rnacentral:rRNA from 1 species